GACGAAACGUGCGAACGUUGUUCGGAAUCACUGGGCUUAAAGGGCGCGUAGGCGGCCGGGUUGGUCGUGGGUGAAAUCCCCCAGCUUAACUGGGGAACUGCCUACGAUACUGCCUGGCUCGAGGGAGGAAGGGGCGGUCGGAACUGUCGGUGGAGCGGUGAAAUGCGUUGAUAUCGGCAGGAACGCCGGUGGCGAAAGCGGACCGCUGGCCCUCUUCUGACGCUGAGGCGCGAAAGCCAGGGGAGCGAACGGG
rnacentral:rRNA from 1 species